UACUUACAGAUGUUUGGCAGGAACAAGAUGGUUGACAAAAAGUCUUCGGUAGGAAUCGGUCCUGCAGAGCGCUAUAAAUUUCCUUAUAAGAGCAUCUGUCUGUCCAUCUCUUCUUCCCAAAAAUCUCAGAACUUGUCCUUGCAAAGGAUGGGGUUGUUAUUGCAGAUGAGACUAGCAGCGUACGGCCCAGGCAAGCACGGGCAAAGAAGAUUCAAAAACGGUGGCGGAGCUAGGGGGCAUGGCCCCGUGGCUUUCUAAGUUUCCUAUUUGAGGUUGUGAUAAAAUUACCAUUUAAAUAAAUAAGAAAUCUCUGCCCCCUCAAAUUCUAGAAUAUGAUAGCCAAAAUUUGGUCUCCACCAUGCCGCCAGUCGCCAUGUGCCUAGAGCAACAGCAGCUCCCAACAACCGUCACCGGCUUGCAAGGACCUUCUCCGGCCAUCCAUGCUCGCCAGAAGCCAGUCGCCUCGGCCCUCGCUGUGACCCGCCACCGAUAAUGGUGGAAGCGAACUCUGAAAGGCGGAGCAAGAAGGCUCUGCCAUAAGUUCAGGUUAGUCGGAUUGAUGAGGAGAAAGAAGAGAUGGAUCAGGUUAUGAAGAGUCCUGGUUGGUUGAGUGCAUGGAAAAUCCACUGGCCGGGAAGAGAAAGCGGCCAGAAUUUUCGUAUUUGAGAAACUGGGAAGAAUGGAUUGGGAUGGGAGGAACGGGAGAAGAAGAAGAAGAAAAUGAUGAUGGUAUUGUUACAAAUGCGAUAAUAAUAAAAAUAAUGCCACGUCCUUGACAAUUGAUGGCUGCCCCUUCCUAAAGUCUCUGCCAGACUACUUGCUUACUGCUCCAUUAUUGAAGGAAUUGGAGAUUUCUGGUUCACAGCUUCUCAAAGAACGUUUCCAAAGAGGGACCGGAGAGAAUUGGCACAAGAUUUCUCACAUCUCUAACAUCAAAUUGGAUUGGGUGUAUGUGCAAAGAGAUGGUGAACCCCAGUUUGAUUCAAAGGGAAUCAGUCGAGCCAAACAAGAGGAAGUCAUACUUGCCACCAGAGAAGCAGUUCUUAAUUACUAGAAAUGGUAAAAACUAAAACUUUACUUUGAUUUUUACGUGUUUUUUAAAUAUGAUAAUGUGUGAUGUUUUUGGUAACAGCUACUAUAAUGGUUUGUUUUUUAAUCCCCGCUUUCUCUUCCUGAUCAUGGAUAUUGAAACUAUUAAACCCGGUAGAGCUGCUGCCACCAAACUAAUAAUUAAUGCAAGAUAUAUGGAUGGAACUUUGCUUGAUUUAUGAUGGUCAGAAUUGUUGCAGCUGUUAAUGUUUAGUGAUGGCUUAUUAGCACAGAGAGCAAGAUUGUUCAAGAAGCUGCUGGCAUAUGCAUCAUUUUCAAAUUGUGUUGGGAUCCUCCCAAUCAAAUGAUUGGAAGAGAGAUUGAGUAAAGUGAGCUUCAGGAGGCCAAGUUGGGGUGGUAUUUGGCCAGAAAAUUGGUUCUCUGACAAGUCCAACUCUGUAAGACCUGCCAAAUUACCUAAUUCCUCUGGAAUAGGUCCAGAGAUUUUAUUUUGGCGAAGAUUUAGAGUAUUUAACGUUUUCCAUGAUAUAAUAUCUGAUGGAAGGAUGCCUGAGAGUUGAUUUUGAUCAAGCAAAAGAGUUGUUAAAUAAGGAAGAGAUGUUCAUUACAAGCCUCAAAUACCAUCCUCCAGGAAGACACUCUAGCUGGGAUCCAACUAGAAAAUUGGUGAAUGUCAACCAGGAUUGUGCGGGUGGAGUUAUUCUGUGAGAGGCCAAGGUCUUCGAACUUAGAACAAUUGUAGUGAGCUUUAAGAAACUUGGGAAAGAAUGAAGUUGUUUGACUGUCCAAUAGAUGGUGGAAUGUUACCAGAGAAGCUGUUGACUCCAAGGUUGAGGCUGCGCAGGCGAGACAAGCUGUGAAUUUCCACCGGGAUUGUGCCGUUGAAGUAAUUCUGUGACAGGUCAAGGUCUUCUAGCUUGGAACAGUUGUAGUAGAGAGCUAUAGGAAACUCUUGAGAGAUGAAGUUGUUUGAAAGGUCAAUGACGUGAGGUUCUUGAGUUGUGAUGUACAGAAUUUGUAGCGUGUGAUAUACAAAAUAUAAUUUCUUUCUAAUGCACUCACUACAAUAGCAUAUUGUAUUUUGUUUGUGGGUGCUUUUAAAGGGUGCUGUACAGUACGCUCUUAUUAG